UGCCUGGAGUGAAGAUUCUGCCCAUUGGUCAAGAGACCUCCCUCUCAGAUGCUGGCUCUGCCCCUGCCUUUGGGGGUCGACCCUUGUACUCGCAGGACCUUAGGUGACUCUGUAAGUAUAGUAAAACGCAGUUAAUAUGAUGUUAUCAUUCAAUCAUUUUUAAAAAGUGGAGCAACCAGUUGACAAGGUAAGACUUUUUCCUGACAUCUGUGGUUGUUUAUUUAAAAGAACAGACAAUAUUUAAAAUGAAAGACAAACUCAGAGGUUGCAGUGAGCCGAGAUCGCACCACUGCACUCCAGCCAAGGUGACAGAGCAAGACCUCUUCUCAAAAAAGAAAAAGCACCCACAAUUCCAACUGAAAGUUAACUACAUUCUAUAUUUUGUCAUAAUUUGUUUUCCAUCACUUUUUGUAUUUACAUUUAUUUUACAUAUUUAAAUAAAUCCGUAUGUAUAGUUUUGUAUCCCACUUUUUUUGUUUUUUACUUAACAUUGUAACCGUUUUACUAUGUCACUAAAAACUAAAAAUUUUUGAUAGCUGUAUCAUAUUCUACUGUAUGGAUAUACUGUAAUUUACUUAACCAUUCUGUAAUGUUGCAUAAACUAUUUGUUUACAAUAUUUUUCUAUUAAAAAACAACUGACAUUAA
rnacentral:lncRNA from 1 species